GCUCCUACCGAUUUCGAGUGUUCCGGUGAACCAUUUGGACCGCGCGAUCCUCGUGAUUGUGUGGAAAAUCUAGUAAACCAUAACACUUAGAGGAAGGAGAAGUCGUAACAAGGUUUCCGUAGGUGAACCUGCGGAAGGAUCAUUA
rnacentral:rRNA from 1 species